UUGUAUUACUUUUCUUCUGUGUGGGAAGUUUCGUUUGACAACUGGUAGAUUCUGUGGUUAUGGAUUGUCAAAAUGGAGGUUAUCGGCGAUUUGAGAUAAUUUUUGGAGAGAAGUUUUUUUGGAAAGAAAGUUUGCCUGAUUGAAGAAUAUAUGAUCUAGAAUCAUCCUUGUUAGAGGCGAUUAUUUCUUCAAUUUGGGUAAUUCCCUGUAUGGUUUAUGGUAUUGAGAAUAUUUCUGGGAAAUACGUUUUAUACGUGAUUAUGAAAUUUUCUUCCACAAGGCCCAUCUCUUGUACUGAAUUUACUCUGAAGAUCUGAGAGGUAUGAUAUCAUUUCUAUAUCUUGAGCUGUUGUCUGAAAUUUCUGUUUUAUUAGGAUUCGCUUCCCGCCGAUUAGUUCGAAUAACUGUUGAACUUAUACGAAGAAUAUCAAGAAGAUCCUUUUCCCUCGAACAACAACUGAGAGGGUCCUAGUGCCUGGGUUGAAUUGAAGAAUCCUAGUGCCUGGUUGGAUUGAGAAUCCUAGUGCCUGGAUCACUGUUUGGAAUCCUAGUGCCUGGUAAGAGUCUGGUUGGAUUUGAAGAGUCCUAGUGACUGAUUACGUUCAAGAAUUCUGGAGUCUGGUAUAUGGUAUGGUUUGAGUUUAUGGUUUUUGAUUCUCUGGUAAAUUUCUGGUGCAGUUCUGGUGGAUGGUAUUUUCUGAUAGAUGGUACAGUUCGAGUACAUAGUAUAUUGCUGGCAUAUGGUGUACCUCGAGUAGAUGGUAUAUUCUACGUAUAGAGAUCUCACCGUUAGAUUUGCUGUCAAGUCAACCUUCAAUAUUGAUUUUGUAUAAGGUAACCGGUGCUUGCACUGGGUAUUGUAUUGAGAUUUAGUUUUAGAAGUAACGAUUUAGUGUACUGAUGGUAAAUCAGUCAUUGGAAUAGGAGUUAACGGUUAUAUUAUUAAUUUUCUGUCCAUUGACAGUUAUAUUUGAAAUAUAUUGAAUAAAAGUUGUUUCAUGCUCAUUAUUUACUGUCGAAAUUGUAAACAGUUUGCGGUGAGGUGCACUUCACUAACUGGCCAUUUAUUUUAACAACUAUAAUACUUGUGUAUCCCUUCAGGAUUUGUGACUGGGAUUUAUUAUCACUUUAUUCAACCUGCUAUUUUAUACCAGCCAGUUAUUACAACCACUGUAUUUGUAUAUUCCUUCUGGAUUUGUGGUUUAGGUCAAUCUUCUUGUUUACUUGGUUAUUUUUCUGGUUUAGUAUCUGGUAUAUUUGGAGUUUGUUGAACUCCGUUUACGUUUAGUUUUGGUACUGAGGUACUGAAGUUUUAGGUUAAGCCUUAGCCAAGUGUAGGCUAAUUAAGGAUUCUGUUGUCAGGAUUAGGUUAGGUAUUAUAGGUUAUAGGAAGCCCUUCUGGUAUUUGUUAGUAUUAGGUAAAGUUUUUGGGAAGCCCUUCUGGCUCUUGGUAACUUUGAGAAUUCCUUUUUUUUUAUUUUUUUUAUUAUCAACCACUGCAUAAAUUUUAAUUUUAUUAAACGUUUGACUUGA